GUCCUUAGGAUGCAGAUUACC
rnacentral:miRNA from 1 species